rnacentral:rRNA from 1 species
UACGUAGGUGGCAAGCGUUGUCCGGAUUUAUUGGGUUUAAAGGGUGCGUAGGCGGCCCGUUAAGUCAGUGGUGAAAGCCUCCAGCUCAACUGGAGAACUGCCAUUGAUACUGACGGGCUUGAGUACAGACGAGGUUGGCGGAAUUGACUGUGUAGCGGUGAAAUGCAUAGAUACAAUCAAGAACUCCGAUUGCGUAGGCAGCUAACUAGGCUGUAACUGACGCUGAGGCACGAAAGCGUGGGGAGCGAACAGG